GCCUGCACCGCGUGAAUCUGCACCCUCAGAAGGAUGUUUGAAUGUCAAGCAGUUAGCCUGUACUCUGGGUACCCUUGACCAGGAGUACAGUUGGGAACAGCUGUCGGAACUGGAAAAACACUUCAAGAUGGAGCCACGCCCAGACCCCGGAGCUCAAAGGGUCCUGGCCACCAGACUCAACAUGACAGAGGAACAAGUUAAGACUUGGUUCACCCAGCGUUCCUUGAAGCCUGAGACGUGCCUUUGCUCUGAGUGGCUACUAUGGAAGCCUGUCCGCCAUAACCCUUAUUCCUGUGCUUCCAACAAAGCUGGGGGCUGCCGGGCACCAAGCUGUC